rnacentral:sRNA from 12 species
CCUUUGGAGUGUUAUAUCAAACAAAAGUAAUAUUUUAAUAAUAUGAAAUUGGAUACUAUGAAUAAGGAA